CCUACGGGAGGCAGCAGUGGGGAAUAUUGGACAAUGGGCGCAAGCCUGAUCCAGCCAUGCCGCGUGUGUGAAGAAGGUCUUCGGAUUGUAAAGCACUUUAAGUUGGGAGGAAGGGUUGUAGAUUAAUACUCUGCAAUUUUGACGUUACCGACAGAAUAAGCACCGGCUAACUCUGUGCCAGCAGCCGCGGUAAU
rnacentral:rRNA from 1 species